UGAAGAGGAGCCAAACUCAAAAACCGGUCCCAGUUCGGAUUGUAGGCUGCAACUCGCCUACAUGAAGUCGGAGUUGCUAGUAAUCGCGGAUCAGAAUGCCGCGGGUGAAUGCGUUCCCGGGUCUUGUACACACCGCCCGUCACACCAUGGAAGUUGGGGGCGCCCGAAGUUGGUCGGGAAAUAGAUUACCUAAGGCGAAACCAAUGACUGGGGUGAAGUCGUAACAAGGUAAC
rnacentral:rRNA from 1 species